rnacentral:rRNA from 1 species
UACGAAGGGUGCAAGCGUUGUUCGGAAUCACUGGGCGUAAAGGGCGUGUAGGCGGUCAGGUAAGUGGAAUGUGAAAUCCCUCGGCUCACCCGAGGACCUGCAUCCCAAACUGCCUGGCUUGAGUAUGGGAGAGGAUGAGGGAAUUCCUGGUGUAGCGGUGAAAUGCGUAGAUAUCAGGAGGAACACCGGUGGCGAAGGCGCGCAUCUGGCCCAAUACUGACGCUGAAGCGCGAAAGCUAGGGGAGCAAACGGG